GCAUUUUGAACUGGCCGAGCUAGAGUAUGUCAGAGGGGGGGGUAGAAUUGCACCGUGUAGCAGUGAAAUGCGUAGAUAUGUGGAGGGAAUACCGAUGGCGAAAGGCAGCCCCCCCCGGGAUAAUACUGACGCUCAGACACGAAAGCGUGGGGAGCAAACAGGAUUAGAUACCCUGGUAGUCCACGCCCUAAACGAUGUCAACUAGCUGUUGGGGCCGUUAGGCCUUAGUAGCGCAGCUAACGCGUGAAGUUGACCGCCUGGGGAGUACGGUCGCAAGAUUAAAACUCAAAGGAAUUGACGGGG
rnacentral:rRNA from 2 species